CAGGUGCACUGAAUCAAUCGAACUUGAAAAGUUAUCCGAUAAACAAUAUUUGUUUCCGUUCGUAUUAAAAAUUACCUGAAAGUAAAACAUUCUGAAAAACAAUGACGAAACUUUGCGUCGUUAUUUUGGCCGUUGUCAUGUCCUCCUUAUUCUGCACGGUCUAUGCACCCUGUCCAAUUUGUGAGGAGAUAGGUGAGACGUGCUGCUGGAAUCCGCAGUAUGGCCACCACUGCGGUCCGAUUGGUUGCGGGAAUUACGUCGAGGAAAUUGAGGCUGCAGCUUGCCCCAUUUGUUCGCCUCAUGAGGUUUUUGUCGGGACGAAUUUGGACAUCAUUGUGGACCACCGGGCUGCGGUCGACCGUAAUCGCGAAAUGAUGGAAUUCACACAUACAUACAUACAUAUAUACUAAAAGAGUAUGCACAUAUGUACGUUACACACUAUUUUAUGCUCAUCAAGAUCACCGUUUUAUAUACGUAAUUUAAUUAACACAUAUUUUACCAGUAAAUGUAUUAAGCAAUGUAUUUAUAACCUUCUCUAUUUUUAUUUUCAUACAUACAUAAAUGCUAUUUGUUUCAAAAAUGCAAGCCGAACGAUGCUAAACACAUAUAUGUAGCAUUUACAACCUAAUACAUGUCUCAGCUUAUGAAUAAUCCAGAGCCGCAAAGUUAAUGAUUUUUGAGGCAAUUUGCAGUUGUUUUUACAACAGAAAGGGCUAAUAAAAUUCUCCAGCCUUGUAUACAA